UCGUCAGGUAGGAUAAUUCUUACCUGUUACUCUAUAUGGAGAACAGAUUAGAAAAUGAUGUUUGGAGUUCACAUGAUACAUGAUUAUACGUCUUUGCGUAAUCAGGACUUGCAAUAGGUCUCAUGGUGGCAAAACAGAC
ensembl:snoRNA U8 U8 small nucleolar RNA